rnacentral:lncRNA from 1 species
UUAUCCCUGAUAGUUGAAGGGAUGGAGAGUGACAUAGGCUACUUUUUAAGACACUGAUUGAUAUUGUAUUUUUAUUAAUACUUAGUUUAUGAAAAUUGUUUUCUAGAACCUGUAACUCUUAUUCAAGUAUUAGGUAAUUAUGUUCUACGGUUUGUUAAAUACUAAGUAAUUUAGUUAUGAAUGUUUUCUACUCUAGACUGUAUAUAUAGCACUGUUGAUUAUGUUGCAAGUUCUCCGUGGUAUGAUAAGACCCGUUGAAAUCUUCUAUCACUGCAGCUUUAUGUGGUCGUUACUUUUACACAUAAUGGCAUGGAGUACCUAGUCAGCAUGAAGCCUGGGAAAAAGAAAAAUUAUAAAGAAAUCGCGAUGAUUCAAUUUCGUUCAAAGAAGACUUUUGAAUAGUCGCAGUCCUGUUGUGGAAUUGCCCCUUCCUGCUAAAGAUACAGGGUCUAGUGUUGUAGUAACACCAGUAUCAACGUUAAAUGCCAGAUAGCGAAAACUGCCCGACAUCUGAUUCCCAAAGUGGGAAUGACUUCCCGACAAGGAGGAAGAACAAAACACAUAGCCGACACCGAUAGUCUGGAUACUGGAUAGUUGUCAGAGCGUUUGUAAGUCAGUGGAUGUUCUCACAGAGCUGAAGGAGAUAAAACCUUUUGUUACGUUUAUUAUGAGAAAAGUAGAAGCGAUCGAAUUAUCAAUAAUAAAUGUUGCUUCGGAACCGAAACCAACAACAUUGUAGUUGCCUAAAUUACCUCUGACUCAAAUAAGCGAACUCGUGAACAUGGAGGCGAUGCUAGGCGAGGAAAACGUUCGAUCGCAAUUGUUUGAUAUGCUAAGGCAUACACGAAGAAUCAAAGAACGGGACUGUAUCAACCGCUGUCUGGAAAAAAUCUCGGAUUACUUGGGGCAGUAAUUGCUCUUGGACGGGGAAAAAAACAAUUUCAGAUUGUCUUCCCCAAAGCUGAUGAAUGUUAUAAAACUUUGAUAUGCUAAGGCAUACAGGAGGAAGCGAAGGAACGGGACUGCGUCAACCGC